rnacentral:rRNA from 1 species
AACGUAGGAGGCGAGCGUUAUCCGGAUUUACUGGGUGUAAAGCGCGUGCAGGCGGUCGGAUAAGAUGGGUGUGAAAGCUCCUGGCUCAACUGGGAGAGGUCGCUCAAGACUGUCGGACUGGAGCGUGGUAGGGGAAGGCGGAAUUCCAGGUGUAGUGGUGAAAUGCGUAGAUAUCUGGAGGAACACCAGUGGCGAAAGCGGCCUUCUGGACCACGACUGACGCUCAGACGCGAAAGCUAGGGGAGCAAACGGG